rnacentral:sRNA from 1 species
AGACAUAAUGAUGGCAGGAGCUGGAGCAGCAACCUGAGGACCCAGAGCUCAAAGCCACAUGUUGAGAAGGGCAGAGAUACUGUAUCCACUCUGGACUGCUGACCUUUGAACUAUUAUGUUAUUUCCAGGGAAAUGCAAACCAAAGGACGUGGUCUCUGAUCUAAUCCUUAGAGAAUGUGACCAUGAAGACAGUUUUCCUACCUAGUCAAAAGGGGCAGGAAUUGGAGAGACAUCUACAAAGCUUCCAACACCAUGGCCCUGGGGGUGACCUCCUCGGUACCCUGCCUGCCCCUCCCCAACAUCCUACUCAUGGCCAGUGUCAAAUGGCACCACGGGCAGAACCAGACAUGGAACAGACCAUCCAUAGCCCCCAACAUCUUCCUGAAGAGGAUUCUCCCAUUGAAGUUUGUGGAGCUCCAGGUAUGUGACCACCAUCAACGCAUCCUGCAGUUGAGGACAGUCACUGAGAAGAUUUAUUACCUAAAGCUCCACCCUGACCAUCCUGAGACUGUCUUCCACUUCUGGAUCCGACUGGUUCAAAUUCUGCAAAAGGGGCUGUCCAUCACUACCAAAGACCCUAGGAUUCUUGUCACUCACUGCCUGGUACCCAAGAACUGCUGCAGCCCCUCAGGAGAUUCGAAGUUACUACAGAAGAAACUCCAAGCCUCCCAGCCCAGCGAGAGUCUCAUUCAACUAAUGACCAAGGGGGAGAGUGAAGCCCUGUCUCAGAUUUUUGCCGACUUACACCAGCAGAACCAGUUGAGGUACAUGACUUAAAUCAAGCCAGCCUCUGGCAUUCCUUCCUGCAACCCAGAUGGUCUGGGCUGUGAGAUCCAGAAACCAAAUAUCUUGGUUAAUGAGCACAGGGUUUU